CGGUACGUGUGGGCACGGCGCACUCCAUUCCCUCAGGGUUUCGGUGGGGCUUUUUAAGUGACAAAAUUUAAUUCUGAGGUUUCAACCAUCACAACCCAUCUUCCACCUGCUAAAUUUCAUUUCAGAAGAAUGUUUGAAACAGCUUACAACAGCUAAGAAGUUAGAUUUCAAAAUAUGGUGCAAUGAGGAAAAAUAUUGAAAGCAGUUUAUAUUAUUCAGUCUAAGAUCCUUGAAGAAGAAAGCAGAAAAAGAUAUGCAAAGUGUUCUUUGAUCACAGCAAAGUUCUCAGGCUACGUUUCUUAGAGGAUACAAAAGCAAAGUAAAAAGGAGAAUAGAAGAGAUGUU